UGGAGGUUCUUAAUUUUCACUAGCCGUCUUCAUGUGCCAUCUCAGUCAGAAGAUGUGGGAACAUUGAAUUGUGAGUAGACUCACUGUAGCACUCUCCACCAGUGACCGACUCCAUAGCCACCACAUAGGAUUAAGAGAGGACAACAGUAAUCAGAGAAUGACUUAUCCAACAAAGAAUUACGUCUUUGGCUUCCAAACCAGUGCAAUGCUCAUUUCCAACAAUCUUCUUAUUCUCAAGGAGGAGGACAAUUACCAGGCUACUUAAGUCAUUCUGGAGGCAGUCACAAUCUUUUUUACUACACCUGUGG